GUAGCCUAGUGGUUAGAGCAGGUAGUCUAGUGGUUAGAGCAGGUAGCCUAGUGGUUAGAGCAGGUAGUCUAGUGGUUAGAGCAGGUAGUCUAGUGGUUAGAGCAGGUAGUCUAGUGCUUAGAGCAGGUAGCCUAGUGGUUAGAGCAGGUAGUCUAGUGCUUAGAGCAGGUAGCCUAGU